UACGUAGGGUGCAAGCGUUGUCCGGAUUUAUUGGGCGUAAAGAGCUCGUAGGCGGUUUGUCGCGUCGGAUGUGAAAUCCCAGGGCUCAACCCUGGGCCUGCAUUCGAUACGGGCAGACUAGAGUAUGGCAGGGGAGACUGGAAUUCCUGGUGUAGCGGUGAAAUGCGCAGAUAUCAGGAGGAACACCGGUGGCGAAGGCGACCUUCUGGGCCGCAACUGACGCUGAGGCACGAAAGCCUGGGGAGCGAACGGG
rnacentral:rRNA from 1 species